rnacentral:rRNA from 1 species
GACGAACGCUGGCGGCGUGCUUAACACAUGCGAGUCGAACGGAAAGGCCCUGCUUUCGUGGGGUGCUCGAGUGGCGAACGGGUGAGUAACACGUGAGUAACCUGCCCUUGACUUUGGGAUAACUUCAGGAAACUGGGGCUAAUACCGGAUAGGAGCUCCUGCUGCAUGGUGGGGGUUGGAAAGUUUCGGCGGUUGGGGAUGGACUCGCGGCUUAUCAGCUUGUUGGUGGGGUAGUGGCUUACCAAGGCUUUGACGGGUAGCCGGCCUGAGAGGGUGACCGGCCACAUUGGGACUGAGAUACGGCCCAGACUCCUACGGGAGGCAGCAGUGGGGAAUAUUGCACAAUGGGCGGAAGCCUGAUGCAGCAACGCCGCGUGCGGGAUGACGGCCUUCGGGUUGUAAACCGCUUUCACCUGUGACGAAGCGUGAGUGACGGUAAUGGGUAAAGAAGCACCGGCUAACUACGUG